AGAGUUUGAUCCUGGCUCAGGAUCAACGCUGGCGGCGUGCCUAAUGCAUGCAAGUCGAACGGGUUGCCUUCGGGCAGUCACGUGGCGGACGGGUGAGGAACACGUGGGCAAUCUGCCCACCGGUGGGGGGUAGCCCUCGGAAACGAGGGGUAAUUCCGCAUGAGUCUGGUUGGCGAGUGGGUUGACCAGGGAAAGCCUUUGGGCGCCGGUGGAGGAGCCUGCGACCGAUUAGUUAGUUGGUGGGGUAACGGCCUACCAAGGCGAUGAUCGGUAGCUGGUCUGAGAGGAUGGCCAGCCACACGGGGACUGAGACACGGCCCCGACUCCUACGGGAGGCAGCAGCAAGGAAUUUUCCGCAAUGGGCGAAAGCCUGACGGAGCAACGCCGCGUGCGGGAUGACGCUUUUCGGAGUGUAAACCGCUGUUCGUGGGGACGAAGUACUGACGGUACCCACGGAGGAAGGCCCGGCUAACUACGUGCCAGCAGCCGCGGUAAUACGUAGGGGUCGAGCGUUGUCCGGAGUUACUGGGCGUAAAAGCGUGUGCAGGCGGCUCAUUGCGCCCGGCGUGAAAGCCCCCGGCUCAACCGGGGGAGGGUCGUCGGGGACGGGUGAGCUUGAGGGUAUCAGGGGCAGGUAGAAUUCCCGGUGUAGUGGUGAAAUGCGUAGAGAUCGGGAGGAAUACCCGUGGCGAAGGCGGCCUGCUGGGAUACACCUGACGCUGAGACACGAAGGCGUGGGGAGCGAACGGGAUUAGAUACCCUAGUAGUCC
rnacentral:rRNA from 1 species